CAGCCAUCCGCUUAUGCCUUGGGCUACACACACGCUACAAUGGGUGGUACAGAGGGUUGCUAAAGAGCAAUCUGGAGCUAAUCCCCAAAAAACCAUCCUCAAGUUCGGAUUGCAGGCUGAAACCACCUGCAUGAAGUCGGAGUUGCUAGUAACUGCAGGUCAGCAUACUGCACGUGAACUACGUUCUCGGGCCUU
rnacentral:rRNA from 1 species